UACGAAGGGGGGCUAGCGUUGUUCGGAUUUACUGGGCGUAAAGCGCACGUAGGCGGUUUGUUAAGUGAGAGGUGAAAUCCCAGAAGCCUCAACUCUGGAACUGCCUUUCAUACUGGCAAGCUAGAGUCCGGAAGAGGUAAGUGGAACUCCUAGUGUAGAGGUGGAAUUCGUAGAUAUUAGGAAGAACACCAGUGGCGAAAGGCGGCUUACUGGUCCGGAACUGACGCUGAGGUGCGAAACGUGGGG
rnacentral:rRNA from 1 species